GAUGAACGCUGGCGGCGUGCCUAAUACAUGCAAGUCGAGCGAACAGACGAGGAGCUUGCUCCUUUGACGUUAGCGGCGGACGGGUGAGUAACACGUGGGUAACCUACCUAUAAGACUGGGAUAACUUCGGGAAACCGGAGCUAAUACCGGAUAAUAUUUCGAACCGCAUGGUUCGAUAGUGAAAGAUGGCUCUGCUAUCACUUAUAGAUGGACCUGCGCCGUAUUAGCUAGUUGGUAAGGUAACGGCUUACCUAGGCAACGAUACGUAGCCGACCUGAGAGGGUGAUCGGCCACACUGGAACUGAGACACGGUCCAGACUCCUACGGGAGGCAGCAGUAGGGAAUCUUCCGCAAUGGGCGAAAGCCUGACGGAGCAACGCCGCGUGAGUGAUGAAGGUCUUCGGAUCGUAAAACUCUGUUAUUAGGGAAGAACAAACGUGUAAGUAACUGUGCACGUCUUGACGGUACCUAAUCAGAAAGCCACGGCUAACUACGUG
rnacentral:rRNA from 1 species